rnacentral:misc_RNA from 1 species
AAGAGAUAGGACGCAAGUCCAACCUCCAACCCUUUGUCGUAAACCACUAGUUGCCUUGCCUUAUGUCAGCUGACUGAGGCGUGGGGAAACCCGCGCUCCAUGUCUGGCCUCUAGGGCCAAAGAUUUAUUAAACUUCAAUAUUUUUAUUGAAUUGUUAUUUUAACCAUAGUCAAUUUGUUGAUUAAAUUCAAAAAUCUUCA